GUGUGUUAGUGGAAGCGUCUGGAAAGGCGCGCGAUACAGGGUGACAGCCCCGUACACAAAAAUGCACAUGCUGUGAGCUCGAUGAGUAGGGCGGGACACGUGGUAUCCUGUCUGAAUAUGGGGGGACCAUCCUCCAAGGCUAAAUACUCCUGACUGACCGAUAGUGAACCAGUACCGUGAGGGAAAGGCGAAAAGAACCCCGGCGAGGGGAGUGAAAAAGAACCUGAAACCGUGUACGUACAAGCAGUGGGAGCACGCUUAGGCGUGUGACUGCGUACCUUUUGUAUAAUGGGUCAGCGACUUAUAUUCUGUAGCAAGGUUAACCGAAUAGGGGAGCCGAAGGGAAACCGAGUCUUAACUGGGCGUUAAGUUGCAGGGUAUAGACCCGAAACCCGGUGAUCUAGCCAUGGGCAGGUUGAAGGUUGGGUAACACUAACUGGAGGACCGAACCGACUAAUGUUGAAAAAUUAGCGGAUGACUUGUGGCUGGGGGUGAAAGGCCAAUCAAACCGGGAGAUAGCUGGUUCUCCCCGAAAGCUAUUUAGGUAGCGCCUCGUGAAUUCAUCUCCGGGGGUAGAGCACUGUUUCGGCAAGGGGGUCAUCCCGACUUACCAACCCGAUGCAAACUGCGAAUACCGGAGAAUGUUAUCACGGGAGACACACGGCGGGUGCUAACGUCCGUCGUGAAGAGGGAAACAACCCAGACCGCCAGCUAAGGUCCCAAAGUCAUGGUUAAGUGGGAAACGAUGUGGGAAGGCCCAGACAGCCAGGAUGUUGGCUUAGAAGCAGCCAUCAUUUAAAGAAAGCGUAAUAGCUCACUGGUCGAGUCGGCCUGCGCGGAAGAUGUAACGGGGCUAAACCAUGCACCGAAGCUGCGGCAGCGACGCUGAUGCGUUGUUGGGUAGGGGAGCGUUCUGUAAGCCUGUGAAGGUGUGCUGUGAGGCAUGCUGGAGGUAUCAGAAGUGCGAAUGCUGACAUAAGUAACGAUAAAGCGGGUGAAAAGCCCGCUCGCCGGAAGACCAAGGGUUCCUGUCCAACGUUAAUCGGGGCAGGGUGAGUCGACCCCUAAGGCGAGGCCGAAAGGCGUAGUCGAUGGGAAACAGGUUAAUAUUCCUGUACUUGGUGUUACUGCGAAGGGGGGACGGAGAAGGCUAUGUUGGCCGGGCGACGGUUGUCCCGGUUUAAGCGUGUAGGCUGGUUUUCCAGGCAAAUCCGGAAAAUCAAGGCUGAGGCGUGAUGACGAGGCACUACGGUGCUGAAGCAACAAAUGCCCUGCUUCCAGGAAAAGCCUCUAAGCAUCAGGUAACAUCAAAUCGUACCCCAAACCGACACAGGUGGUCAGGUAGAGAAUACCAAGGCGCUUGAGAGAACUCGGGUGAAGGAACUAGGCAAAAUGGUGCCGUAACUUCGGGAGAAGGCACGCUGAUAUGUAGGUGAAGUCCCUCGCGGAUGGAGCUGAAAUCAGUCGAAGAUACCAGCUGGCUGCAACUGUUUAUUAAAAACACAGCACUGUGCAAACACGAAAGUGGACGUAUACGGUGUGACGCCUGCCCGGUGCCGGAAGGUUAAUUGAUGGGGUUAGCGCAAGCGAAGCUCUUGAUCGAAGCCCCGGUAAACGGCGGCCGUAACUAUAACGGUCCUAAGGUAGCGAAAUUCCUUGUCGGGUAAGUUCCGACCUGCACGAAUGGCGUAAUGAUGGCCAGGCUGUCUCCACCCGAGACUCAGUGAAAUUGAACUCGCUGUGAAGAUGCAGUGUACCCGCGGCAAGACGGAAAGACCCCGUGAACCUUUACUAUAGCUUGACACUGAACAUUGAGCCUUGAUGUGUAGGAUAGGUGGGAGGCUUUGAAGUGUGGACGCCAGUCUGCAUGGAGCCGACCUUGAAAUACCACCCUUUAAUGUUUGAUGUUCUAACGUUGACCCGUAAUCCGGGUUGCGGACAGUGUCUGGUGGGUAGUUUGACUGGGGCGGUCUCCUCCUAAAGAGUAACGGAGGAGCACGAAGGUUGGCUAAUCCUGGUCGGACAUCAGGAGGUUAGUGCAAUGGCAUAAGCCAGCUUGACUGCGAGCGUGACGGCGCGAGCAGGUGCGAAAGCAGGUCAUAGUGAUCCGGUGGUUCUGAAUGGAAGGGCCAUCGCUCAACGGAUAAAAGGUACUCCGGGGAUAACAGGCUGAUACCGCCCAAGAGUUCAUAUCGACGGCGGUGUUUGGCACCUCGAUGUCGGCUCAUCACAUCCUGGGGCUGAAGUAGGUCCCAAGGGUAUGGCUGUUCGCCAUUUAAAGUGGUACGCGAGCUGGGUUUAGAACGUCGUGAGACAGUUCGGUCCCUAUCUGCCGUGGGCGCUGGAGAACUGAGGGGGGCUGCUCCUAGUACGAGAGGACCGGAGUGGACGCAUCACUGGUGUUCGGGUUGUCAUGCCAAUGGCACUGCCCGGUAGCUAAAUGCGGAAGAGAUAAGUGCUGAAAGCAUCUAAGCACGAAACUUGCCCCGAGAUGAGUUCU
rnacentral:rRNA from 1 species